CUUGGUCAUUUAGAGGAAGUAAAAGUCGUAACAAGGUUUCCGUAGGUGAACCUGCGGAAGGAUCAUUACCGAGUUCAUGCCCUCACGGGUAGAUCUCCCACCCUUUGUACACCAUACCUUUGUUGCUUUGGCGGGCCGCCUAGCUACUGGCUUCGGCUGGUAAGUGCCCGCCAGAGGACCCAAAACCCUGAAUAUUAGUGUCGUCUGAGUAAAAUUUUAAUAUUUAAAACUUUCAACAACGGAUCUCUUGGCUCUGGCAUCGAUGAAGAACGCAGCGAAAUGCGAUAAGUAAUGUGAAUUGCAGAAUUCAGUGAAUCAUCGAAUCUUUGAACGCACAUUGCGCCCCUUGGUAUUCCGAGGGGCAUGCCUAUUCGAGCGUCAUUAUCACCCCUCAAGCUUCGGCUUGGUGUUGAGGCCUGCUGUAAAGGCACCCUCUAAAAUCAGUGGCAGUGCUGUCAGGCUCUAAGCGUAGUAAUUUCAUCGCUAUAGGGUCCUGGUGGAUACUCGUCAAAACCCCCCCAUUUUUUAAUGAUUGACCUCGGAUUAGGUAGGGAUACCCGCUGAACUUAAGCAUAUCAAUAAGCGGAGGAAAAGAAACCAACAGGGAUUGCCUCAGUAACGGCGAGUGAAGCGGCAAAAGCUCAAAUUUGAAAUCUGGCUCUUUUAGGGUCCGAGUUGUAAUUUGUAGAAGAUGUUUCGGGUGUGGCUCCGGUUUAAGUUCUUUGGAAUAUUACAUCAUAGAGGGUGAGAAUCCCGUAUGUGACCGGCAGCCUUCGCCUAUGUGAAACUCUUUCGACGAGUCGAGUUGUUUGGGAAU
rnacentral:sRNA from 1 species